rnacentral:rRNA from 1 species
GAUUUCUGGCUUGAGACAUUAAGCCGGCCACGGUUUCGUGUGUUAGUGUUUGAUGUUCUGGCCAUCCUUCCAAUUGCUGCUCAUCUUUCUUCAUUGAUAGGUGAGUAGUGUUGGAUCUUUUACUUUGAAAAAAUUAGAGUGUUUCAAGCAGGCUUUAUGCUAUGAAUACAUUAGCAUGGAAUAAUAAUUUAGGACUUCGGUUCUAUUUUGUUGGUUUCGAGAGCUGAAGUAAUGAUUGAUAGGGAUAGUUGGGGGUGCUAGUAUUCAGAGGCCAGAGGUGAAAUUCUUGGAUUCUCUGAAGACUAACUUAUGCGAAAGCAUU